GGGCGGUUAGCUCAGUGGUUAGAGCGCUUGCUUCACACGCAAGAGGUCACUGGUUCAAGUCCAGUACUGCCCACCA
rnacentral:tRNA from 2 species